GACGAACCGAGCGAACGUUAUUCGGAAUCACUGGGCUUAAAGGGCGCGUAGGCGGGCCGUCAAGUCGAGGGUGAAAUCCCCCAGCUCAACUGGGGAAGUGCCUCCGAUACUGGCGGUCUCGAGGGGGAUAGGGGCAUGCGGAACUUCCGGUGGAGCGGUGAAAUGCGUAGAUAUCUGGAGGAACACCGGUGGCGAAGGCGGCAUCCUGGACCGGCAUUGACGCUGAGGAGCGAAAGCCAGGGGAGCAAACGGG
rnacentral:rRNA from 1 species